rnacentral:rRNA from 1 species
UACGUAGGGGGCAAGCGUUGUCCGGAAUGACUGGGCGUAAAGGGAGUGUAGGCGGCCAAUUAAGUUAGAUGUGAAAUCCCACGGCUUAACCGUGGAACUGCAUCUAAAACUGGAUGGCUGGAGUGCAGGAGAGGUGAGCGGAAUUCCUAGUGUAGCGGUGGAAUGCGUAGAUAUUAGGAGGAACACCAGAGGCGAAGGCGGCUCACUGGACUGUAACUGACGCUGAGGCUCGAAAGCGUGGGGAGCAAACAGG